ensembl:snRNA U6 U6 spliceosomal RNA
GUGCUCACUUUGGCAGCACACAUUCUAAAAUUGGAACGGUACACAGAAGAUUAGUAUGGUUCUUACACAAGGUGCAUGCAAAUUCGUGAAGUGUUCCACAUUUUA